rnacentral:rRNA from 1 species
CAGAACGAACGCUGGCGGCGAUGGAUUAGGCAUGCAAGUCGAACGGUGCAGCAAUGCAUAGUGGCGCAAGGGUGAGGAACGCGUGAGUAACCUGCCCUCAAGUUGGGAACAGCUUCUGGAAACGGAAAUUAAUACCGAAUGUGACCAUAGGAAGGCAUCUUCUGUUGGUUAAAGGCCGCAAGGUCGCUUGAGGAGGGCUCGCGUCCCAUUAUGCUAGUUGGUGAGGUAAAGGCUCACCAAGGCGAAGAUGGGUAGCUGGUCUGAGAGGACGAUCAGCCACACUGGGACUGAGAACUGCCCAGACUCCUACGGGAGGCUGCAGUCGAGAAUUUUGGGCAAUGGACGAAAGUCUGACCCAGCCAAUGCCGCGUGCGGGAUGAAGGUCUUCGGAUUGUAAACCGCUGUCAAGUGGGACGAAACAAAUGACGGUACCGCUGAAGGAAGUCACGGCUAACUACGUGCCAGCAGCCGC